rnacentral:lncRNA from 1 species
AGAUUUAAAUAUUAUUUAGAUUUAUAUUUAAAAUAUGAUAAUAUUAGGUUUUAUGAUUUAUAUUUAUAUUUAGAAUAUUUAAGAUUUGUUUAGAAUUUAUUAUAGGAUUAGUUUUGUUUUAAAAAUAUAUGAUUUGUUUUUUAUGUAGCUCUAUAUAUAGAGCCAUAAACAUAAUGAAUAAAAUAAGAACUUUAGUAUUCUUCAUAUAACCCUAUAUUUGAGGAGAGUUUUCUCCCUAAAUUUAUAUCUCACCAAAUUCCGCAAUACAAAAACACAAAAAACCAUAUAAAAAAUAACGUGAAUGACAUAGAUAGAAUGGAUCAAACUAUUCAUAAUACAUGGUUUAGAUAAUUCAAAACUUGGACAGAGGAAGAGCAUUCGAUAAAGAAGUAGCCAUAGUCGUGAAAGCUGAUUAUCAAAGGAAAAUGAUAAUGAUUAGGGUAUAAAAAGGUGUCCAAAAUGUGGGAGAAGCCAAAACCAAAACCAAAACCAAAACCAAAGUUACGAGUAUAAGGAAGGAUGAGGUAUUUAGAAACACAACUUAAGAAAAC